UUCCAAACGGAGUGAACAAAUGCCAGCGUCUGCCUGUCCUAUGGGUAGGAAAGACUUUCAGUCUCCUGGGCUCGUUAAUACAGUACCUCUUGCCAACACGAAAUUACAAAAAGAGAAUGAUAAACAGACCUCUUGCCAAAGCUGCCUUUCCGCUAACAGAUUUAGCCUGUGCUCUCCUUCGUCUUCCCCGGUACAGCUUUGUUUUAGAACAAAGAUUGCAAAAUAUUUAAGGAAGAAGGGACUAUUACAGAGGAUUGAUCCCUUCCAUUUGCACUGUUAAUCUUCAUUUUUCCCAGUGUCUAUACCCCGUCUUUGUGCAUCGGCAUGAGCAAAGGAAAAGAGAGGGCAGGGAAGGAUUUGCUGUGCUGCCUGCCAGGGGAAUGGGGCUGGAGUCGGAGGAUGGCUCCAUCGUCCUUGUGCUCCUGAACCUUGCACUGGGUUUCCAGUCUUCACCGGAGAAGAAAGCCUGUCACCAGAAAACAGGACCUGGGAGGAGAUCAUUAGAGGGCAAUGAGGAACAACCAUGGCUGGAAGUCAUAAAUCACGCAGUCAAAACCUGCAGUGCAGUGGAUUUGAACGCUGACCAAAUAAAGCCGAGAGGAUUCUGACCCAUCUAUUAUUAAAAGGACAUCUCUGCCUUCAUCUGAUUCUAAUUCCAGGAAUAUUGUAUUUCUGGGUCAGCUUCAGCUGAACAGCUCGGGUUUCAUCUGGUGCGAGCCGUACCGCUGGUCCAUGGUGGUCGUUAACAUCCUGCCGUUCCUGUCUCUGCUCCCCCGUUGAUGUAGUCCGAGCUGAUAACACCCCUGUGGCAGGGGACAGCGGCUCUUUGCCGAAGCCCCGGGACUCCUUGGCGUUAGCCGGACGCAAACGCUUUCCGAUUGCUGAAAGUGCGUGACGUGAAGUACCUAUGAAGAAAAUACAUCGUCAGUGUAAUUAAUGAGUAAUGCAAUUCAGUCACGUUCAGAGCCUCAUGAAAGACCAUACAGAAAUGACGUGGUGUUAAUCACCAGCUGCAUUAGCUCUACUGCUGACUUCAACGCCAUCCGUGUUCGUACAUUGAACGUCUUGAUUGCAUCAGGCAAUGACUACGCUUCAGAUAUUUUCAUAUCAUGCUUUUUAUGUAUUCCCUUAAAGUUGCCAUCUCUUGAAUGGGGCGAAUAUUAUUUAAACUAGCUCUUCUAAUUCAAAACUUGGCUGGAGAGUAAAACCAUGCAGCGUAUCUUUCCUCUGAAGAUGGUCUGUGCGUGGAGGACACUGAUGCUGUCUGCAAGCCUUUACCCCCUGAGGGAUGCAGACGUGCCAUCCCAAAUCUGGUUCACAUCAGCAAAGGCAUGCCUGCGUGCAGUAACAUCGACUGCUAAAGCGUUCCUGAACCGCUGCUUCACUGCACAUCUUCAUUUCCACUGGAAACGCUCCCAGAAAAAAAGGGUCCAGGACAUGACUGAGAGCAAGCCUGAAAUCAAAUGUGCAUUUCAAAUGUGGAAUUUUUGAAAUAGCAAACGUUUUCUCAGGAUAGAAGAAAAGCUUCUUGCCUAGCUUUUGCUGCUAGCUACCACUUCACGGGUGCUUUAGAAAUAAAGAUGGCAAUAUGAGUAUCGAUGGAUGUAUCAGUAGGAUGGUUUGAGGACCAGGAUGACCCUUCUGCUCCGGCUGCAUGGGUUUGUGAAGCAGGGUGCUGCAGGUUCUGGGGAGUUGGAGUUUGUGGAACAGAGUUUACAGUUAUUUAGGUAAAACAAGGCUGGAGCAGAGCUGAAAUUUUCUUUGAAAAUGAGAAGUGGGGAGAACUGCAGGAAAAAAGCAAUAUUCAGGCUCUGGAAUGAUGCCUGAGAUUGAUUUGUAUAAACAUCAAGGUAUAGCUGAAGUACAGUGGAAGAGGUAAAAGUGAACAUUAUACUGUACAAACAGGAGCUACCAUUAAUAAUUUACUGCUAAUUGAAGCCUUAAACUUUUUGUGGAGUCUGGCCUUCCUUUCGUUUCCCUCUUUAAAUUGAUUUUUUAAAAAGUACUUUUUAUUUUAUUAAUAACAGAUUAACUAAAAUUGUGUCAACUUUGACCUGGUUCUUUUAUAAGGUCUUUAACAGGUUAAAUAUUUUGCUUCAGGUGAGAUACGUUCAAUCAACUUUUAGUUACGGUGUAGCUAAAAAAGCAGUAAAUUAGAAAGGAGAUGUUAAUUGUGGAAAACCACGUUGUGUUAUGAAUCUCCAAGCUCAUGCAUACUGUCACAGCAGAGUUUUUUGGGGGAAAGGUGGGACGUAGCCUUGUAGCUUGCCUAAAUUAACCUUUAGCAGAUGAAUUGGAAGUUAAUUUAAUUAUUGUUUGGCGGAUCCCAAGUGAGGGUCAAGCUUCAAAUGACUUAACUGAAAAAUUGUCAGAAAAUUAUUGGAAUUUGAAUGCAGUGUAAGGUCAGGAGGUCUUUCCAUGUUCAAGGAGGCUUUGGCUGAAUACUAUUAGCAUGUGAUUUGUAUAAAAUGAAUGUAAAGACGUGAUGUGCAGAUCAAGGAAGAAACGUAUCUUUUUCCAUUGCCUUUUUUCUUUGUUCAUACUCUCUCAUGUUUGGUUCUGUGCCAUCUUAUGUGAAAUAAAUAAUUUUUGGUACAUAUAUUUUCUCUCAGAAGCACUUAUAUCCCAUUUUCACAAAAGAUGAAGGCAAAUCACAACCUAAGCGGUAUGGGAAGUUAAAGGGUGGGUCACCUUGACAGAAGGACUGACACAAAGCAAGAUGGAGAAGUGUCUGUCAUCCAGAAAAGCUCACAUUUGCAUUAUUUACUCUUUUCUUUACAAUUGGACUUAAGUUUAGAUCUACUAUUUAAUUUUUUGAGAACCUGAAAGAUGCACCUGUCAGUGUCACUGUUUUAAGAACCCCAUAAAAUGCAUUUAUUUCUCAGUAACACUCUGUUUAUAAAGAUUUUAUUCACUUAGUCUGAAAAGAAAAUGAUAAGAACUUAAUAAACUUCCUAAAUCUUG